rnacentral:rRNA from 1 species
AUUGAACGCUGGCGGCAUGCUUUACACAUGCAAGUCGAACGGUAACAGGCCUUCGGGUGCUGACGAGUGGCGAACGGGUGAGUAAUGCAUCGGAACGUACCCAGAGGUGGGGGAUAACGCAGCGAAAGCUGUGCUAAUACCGCAUGUGAUCUGAGGAUGAAAGCGGGGGACCGAGCAGCAAUGUUUGGCCUCGCGCCUUUGGAGCGGCCGAUGUCGGAUUAGCUAGUUGGUGGGGUGAAGGCCUACCAAGGCGACGAUCCGUAGCUGGUCUGAGAGGACGACCAGCCACACUGGGACUGAGACACGGCCCAGACUCCGACGGGAGGCAGCAGGGGGGAAUUUUGGACAAUGGGCGCAAGCCUGAUCCAGCAAUGCCGCGUGCGGGAAGAAGGCCUUCGGGUUGUAAACCGCUUUUGGAAGGAACGAAACGGUGUCCGCUAAUACCGGGCGCUAAUGACGGUACCUGCAGAAUAAGCACCGGCUAACUACGUG